UUUCAAGAUGACCAAAUGGAACACAGAGCAGACCAGCCGUUGUGACAGCUGAGCUUCAACUUUGCUGAGGGAGACUCCAGCGCCGACUACGACCUCGGACAGACACGAGUGAAAUAAACAUGACACACUCAGGACAGGACAGAAGCCGGCCGGUAAAAGAGCACUAAUAGCAGAGGUUAUUCAAUCUGAUGGAGAUAUACUAAACAAGAUAAUAGCCUUCCUACACAGAUCAUCACAUGCUAAGAUAACUACUGCAGUGGAAGGGUCAUAUUCCACUCAGCAAGUCAGAGCCUGAUGCCCUGGAAGCCUGUGUUUUCUCCCUGAACCACCAGGGGGCCUCAGUCCCACAGUGGGACACCCAGCUCUGAGCUUGCCUUCAACCUGAACCCUCCAGCCCCAGUCAAGCUGUCCCACCCUGCCUCCCCUCCAUCCUCUCCUUCUCCUCCCACUCAUCUUUCUCGUCCCUCCUGGCU